AUUGAACGCUGGCGGCAGGCCUAACACAUGCAAGUCGAACGAGUGGCGGACGGGUGAGUAAUGUAUGGGAAACUGCCUGAUGGAGGGGGAUAACUACUGGAAACGGUAGCUAAUACCGCAUACCAUCGGAUGUGCCCAGAUUGGAUUAGCUAGUGGGGGGGGUAACGGCUCACCAAGGCGACGAUCCCUAGCUGGUCUGAGAGGAUGACCAGCCACACGGGAACUGAGACACGGUCCAGACUCCUACGGGAGGCAGCAGUGGGUAAUAUUGGACAAUGGGCGAAAGCCUGACGCAGCAAUGCCGCGUGUAUGAAGAAGGUCUUCGGGUUGUAAAGUACUUUCAGCGGGGAGGCGUUACCCGCAGAAGAAGCACCGGCUAACUCCGUGCCAGCAGCCGCGGUAAUAC
rnacentral:rRNA from 1 species